CAAUGGAUAUUUUAUAAAAAAAUAUUAAUUUUGGAGAUUAAAGAAAAAUAACAAAUUUUCCGUUGA
rnacentral:tRNA from 1 species